rnacentral:ncRNA from 1 species
AAACUCUGGAGAACUCGUUAAGUCGGGUGCCGAAGGUGCAAGGUAGCAAUACCGAAUCUCUCAGGCAAAAGGACAGAUGUAA